rnacentral:rRNA from 1 species
AUUGAACGCUGGCGGCAGGCUUAACACAUGCAGGUCGCGCGGAGCGAGGGUGCUUGCACCUUAGCUUAGCGGCGGACGGGUGAGUAAUGCUUAGGAAUCUGCCUAUUAGUGGGGGACAACAUUCCGAAAGGAAUGCUAAUACCGCAUACGCCCUACGGGGGAAAGCGGGGGAUCUUCGGACCUUGCGCUAAUAGAUGAGCCUAAGUCGGAUUAGCUAGUUGGUGGGGUAAAGGCCUACCAAGGCGACGAUCUGUAGCGGGUCUGAGAGGAUGAUCCGCCACACUGGGACUGAGACACGGCCCAGACUCCUACGGGAGGUAGCAGUGGGGAAUAUUGGACAAUGGGCGGAAGCCUGAUCCAGCCAUGCCGCGUGUGUGAAGAAGGCCUUUUGGUUGUAAAGCACUUUAAGCGAGGAGGAGGCUACUUAGAUUAAUACUCUGGGAUAGUGGACGUUACUCGCAGAAUAAGCACCGGCUAACUCUGUGCCAGCCGCCGCCGUAA